GACGAACGCUGGCGGCGUGCUUAACACAUGCAAGUCGAACGGAAAGGCCCUGCUUUUGUGGGGUGCUCGAGUGGCGAACGGGUGAGUAACACGUGAGUAACCUGCCCUUGACUUUGGGAUAACUUCAGGAAACUGGGGCUAAUACCGGAUAGGAGCUCCUGCUGCAUGGUGGGGGUUGGAAAGUUUCGGCGGUUGGGGAUGGACUCGCGGCUUAUCAGCUUGUUGGUGGGGUAGUGGCUUACCAAGGCUUUGACGGGUAGCCGGCCUGAGAGGGUGACCGGCAACAUUGGGACUGAGAUACGGCCCAGACUCCUACGGGAGGCAGCAGUGGGGAAUAUUGCACAAUGGGCGGAAGCCUGAUGCAGCAACGCCGCGUGCGGGAUGACGGCCUUCGGGUUGUAAACCGCUUUCGCCUGUGACGAAGCGUGAGCGACGGUAAUGGGUAAAGAAGCACCGGCUAACUACGUG
rnacentral:rRNA from 1 species